CUAAAAGUGUUGAGUUUUUGUAAUUAUAUAUGUAAGAAGUGUGUAAAGCAGUAUAAUAGUGUCACUAUGUGAAACUUAUAUUUAUACUUAUGUGUGUGUGGGCUGCCUUGAGGUGUCCUGUGAAGGGAAUUUGGGGCAGUGGCACAUUUAUAUAAAAGUGGAUAUGUUGAAGUAUUUAGCACAAAAAAAAGAACCUUUUGAGUGACUCCAAAUUCUCACUUUUGUUUAUUAUACUGUAAAUGCUCAAGGCCAUUUAUGGUCUUGAGCAUGUAAUGGCAGAAUGGUGCAUGAACAUCCUUGCUAGGACAGAGGACAGUGCAUAUUCAACUACUUUCACAACAAAAACCUUAAUGAGUUUAUGCCAGUUUGAUUAACAGCAGCAAGAUACUUUUGCAACAUAUGAUUAUGAAAAUCUCUACCCCUUAUAUUGCUAGAGCCAACUUGCCUCUCUCUUUAUAGAUUCCUCCUACAGAAUGUGGAAUAGGCAUCAGAUCUAGCACCUGUUUUAAGAGAUUUGGCACAUCUUAUUUGCCAUAAGUCAUAUUUUAAGUUUAAGGGUAUCUUCUAUAAACAGACUAGAGGCAUACCUAUUCGCAGCCCCAUGGCAGGUAUUCUAACGGAAAUUGUCUUAAGGGAGGUUGAAAAACCAGCCAUACGCAGAUUGCAACCUCAGCUAAAAUUCUUUGUUAGACAUGUGGACGACAUCCUCACAGUAUGGGAAGAUGAGAUGGUAACUGACCAACUUGUAGCAGCACUAUCUUUGUCAGCCUUUGGAUUAUCCCUCAAAAAAACACCAACUUAAUAACUGGAGUAUAUACACUUCCUGGAUAUAGAUAUAGAACUUGAAAACAUCACAAUCGAGACCAAAGUAUAUAGAAAGCCAACAUACCAUCUAUCUUCAUCCCUAGAUGGUCCCAUGACCCUGUAAAGUUUAAGAGAACAACUUUCAAGUUUUUCUUUAGAAGAGCUAAGGUUUUCCCAUGUCGGACAGGUCGAAGGUGAGAGGCCAGACUAAGAGAGUGCCCUAAGGUGUCCAAACUAAGAUGUCUGAUAUCGUGCUGUGAGUUGAGUGGCACUGGGGUAGAUAAAGAUGCAGUGUCGCUAACGAUCUCUUCAAGGCACCUGGCAAAACCCUGUCAUGGAUAGCCUCCCGCCUGUAUUGGAGGAUAACUGGGUGGUGAUUUCUUUGUAUUUCCUCCAGUUUGUCUUUUGGGCAUGGAUUUACAAAAUUUAAAAUCUAAAACUUUUUCUAGGGAGGUUGCUUCUCCGCCCUGUCACAGGGAUGGUAGUCCUGGAACCUCAUCUGAUAGUACCAUGGCCGCUGGUGUAUCCCAGAGAGAUGGGGUGGUGGAGUGGUCUCCUGGGGUUGGUAUUGCCUCUGGGAGUAAACCUAGUCCGCGAAAGACGCGUUUGUCUGAGACGGCUAGGCAAAAGCAGAGGAGAGCUAGGAAGGAGGUUGUUGGUAUCAACGGCUCUCAGCUACUGAAUGACUCUUCCCAAAUAGUCUUUUUGUCUUCUGUGAUUCUCUAGCUGAUACCCUUGGUGUUGGCGAGAGAACCAGAUCUGUGAUGUCUACCCCCUUGUCCGAGGAGGUAAGGCCUGCUAAGAGGUCUCAGGGUCUUCAACCCGGACCAUAUUCGGAAGCUUUGGCUUCUUUUCAGCUGGCCAUCAUUAAAAAUGGUUAUCCUGACUCCAAGAUGAUGGCUGCUGAAGUUGACCUUAUUUUGGGGAAGAUCCUGAG
rnacentral:lncRNA from 1 species